rnacentral:lncRNA from 1 species
UUCAAGUAUAACGAAAUUGAAGGGCAUAUCAGAAAAUAUCCUCUCUAUAUAACAGCUUUGUCAUUACCCAGAUUAGCCAAAGUGUAGCAGCCUCGUAGCUUUAACAUCUAGCUCUCUCUUCUCAAACCUUCCAACCGGCUUUUCUAUUUGAAAGCAUUUAGCUUCGUUCUUCAGAGGAUCGAUUAAGCACCAAGAAGAAGAAGAAGACAAAGAAGAAGAAAGAGGGAGAUGGCAGUUUCGAGGAGCGGCAAGAUCAAUGGCGGACGUCUGUCGCAGAGGGUUUCGAGCCGUCUGAUCCCAAGGCGAGGCCAAGUGAAGGUGGCGGUUGUCGUGGAAUUGGCUCAUGUGUUUGCCUUCAUCUUCUCUCUCAAUCUCAGAAACAGAUGUGCUAGUUCUCAUUGAGAGAGAAAGAGAUGUUCCUGUAAUCAUCAAAGCAUUAGGAGGAGCGGUUGGCUGUUGUAAUAAAGAGGUUCUUGAAUGUGCAGAGUGAACAACUUUGUGGAUACUUGAUCGGAUUCUUCUUAUUCUUUUUUCUAUGGCUAUUUAUUCGUUUCUUUAAAUCUGUUUUUUUGUCGGAAAUAUAAUUGAGACGGACUAAAUUCAA